CUGGAUGCGAGCUCUUUGUCAGAUGUAAGGAUUGUGAGUUACCUCCUCUAUUAGCAAAUUUAACUUGCUUAUUCAUCAACUCAUUCCAAGAGCACCAAUAAGGAAUGGGCCAGGCCCUGUGCUGGGUGCUGGGUUAUCAGAAUGAGUAUGAUGUGGCCCUCAUUCUUGAAGACAGCUCGACCGUGAUGGAGGAGACAGGCAUUUAGAAUAAGCAUGAAAUAAAGGUGGCUGUUAAGGGGUCAGCUCCCCUCACCAAAGUCACUUUUGAUUUACUUACAAAAGUUUUCUUAAGAUUUCUUCAGAACCCAGGUCAAAAGGCUGUGGCAGGAGGCCAGGCAGAUCACAGCGUCCAUGCCUAGAUGCUCCCUGACCCCCAGGAACCAGAAGUGCUGUCUCCUGAAGGCUCUGGAAACCCGGAAUCAGCCUACGAGGCACCAGGGCCACCUUGGAGGGUGGAAAUGAGGACCUCAGGCCCCAGAGGGCAUGCAGGCGAGGUGAAGUUCAGGAGAGGGGAAAGAACAUGGGCUGUGUGGCCUUGGACCAAUUGCUUGCCCUCUCUGGGCCUUCUUAUUGGUGACAGACAGACUGGUGACUUUCUGAGAGGAUCUAUGCAACCUCAGGCUCCUGCACCUGGGUUACAGGGUCUUCUGGAGGGGAAGAGAUGAGCAGGGAACUCACAGCGAAAUCUACCAACCAAAGAGGAUGUCCAUACCUGUCUUUUUCUUUCUUCCUUCAUUUUUUGACUUAAUUUCCUCACUUGAAAAAAAAAAAUAAAACACCUUAUUCAGGGUAUACUUUAUGGGCAGUCUUAAUUUUUUUUAUUAGGAUGUGGGAUGUAAAUCCAUAAAAGAAGUAGAAGUGCUGAGCCUUCCUGUGGAGUGGGUGCUGGAGGGGAAAAGGUGGAGUUAGGGGAGGGAAGGGGAGGGCAGGAAGGUUGGUGAUGGGCAGAGAUUCACAGAGACUCCCAGGUCAGGGAGCAAUCCCCCAGUCAGGGCAGCAGGAAUGCCCAGAGGAAUUCUGAUCGGGACAGACGUCGGGCACUGAAUGAAGAGAGGUCCCUCAGGGGCCUGGUCUCAGGGGCCUUGAAUUCCACGCAAAGCGUGUCUUGAGCAUCAACUAUAUGCCAGGCACCUUUUACAUAUAUUAUUUCUUACUUCUAAAUUAUUCCAGAUUUUAAGCCGGGUGCAGUGGCUCACGCCUGUAAUCUCAGCAUUUUGGGAGGCCAAGGCAGAUGGAUAACCUGAGGUCAGGAGUUCGAGACCAGCCUGGCUAACACGGUGAAACCCCGUCUCUACUAAAAAUACAAAAAUUGCCUGGGUGUGGUGGUGCAUGCCUGUAAUCCUAGCUACAUGGAAGGCUGAGGCAGGAGGAUUGCUUGAACCUGAGUGGCAGAGGUUGCAAUGAGCUGAGAUUGUGCCACCGAGCUCCAGCCUGGACUACAAAGUGAGACUCCAUCUCAAAAUAAUAAAUAAAUAAAUAAAUAAAUCUAUCAAUCCAGAUUUUACCAAUUAGGAGACUGAGCCUCAGAGAAGUUAAAUCACUUGUCCAGAGCCCUGAAAUUGGAGAAGCAGCUGCGCUCAGACUGGAACCCUAGAUGGUAGGGCCCCUUAGUCCUCCUUUAUCUUGGGGGGAUCCAGGGAAGGCUUUUCAGCAGGGGAAUGAUGCAAUUGGAUACACAUGUCAGGGGGAACAUGACUGCUUGUGGCAAGGAACGCAGUAAGCCUGGG
rnacentral:lncRNA from 10 species